rnacentral:pre_miRNA from 1 species
AAGCCGGUUAAGUGAAUGCUUUGCCACAGUCUUAGACGUCGAUUAUAAGCUGGGCUGAGAUUCGCUUAGACCGGAGU